GACGAACGCUGGCGGCGUGCUUAACACAUGCAAGUCGAACGGUGAAGCGCCUUCCUUUCUGGUGGGUGUGGAUGAGUGGCGAACGGGUGAGUAACACGUGAGUAACCUGCCCCCUUCUUCUGGAUAACCGCAUGAAAGUGUUGCUAAUACGGGAUAUUCUGGGUCUGUCGCAUGAUUGGUCUGGGACAGUUAUUGUUUCGGUGGGGGAUGGGCUCGCGGCCUAUUAGCUGGUUGGUGGGGUGAUGGCGUACCAAGGCGGCGAUGAGUAGCCGGCCUGAGAGGAGGAUGGGCGGUCACGCAGGUGAGGAGACGCGGACAAGACUCCGGCGGGCAGCAGCAGUGGAGAAUAUGGAACGGGGGGAGCAAGGAUGAUGCAGCGACGCCGCGGGAGUGAUGGAGUCCGUCGGGUUGUGAACCGCUUUCGGGAGUGAAGCAGGCUGGCCGUGUCUGUGGGUGGGUUGACGGUAGCUGGAUAAAAAGCGCCGGCUAACUACGUG
rnacentral:rRNA from 1 species